rnacentral:lncRNA from 1 species
UCACCUAUAUGGUAAGAGCACAGUUGGUGCUCACCAAAGAAGAGGAAUUAGAGUUGUUGGGCUCUCUUAGUGUUAGAGGGGCGGGAGUUGUCAUGGGAGGUCAUGAAUCAUAGAGAGGUGGAGGGAGCAGUGAGUGGGUUGGAGCAGAAGUGGUUGGGGAUGUUCAGGGUGAUGUUUAUAAGGGACUAGGGCUGGCAGUGGGGGCUCAGUAUAGAAGUAAAAACACUGAGGUAUAGUGGCACAGUGCUGUGAUGCCAGCACUUGAGAGACUGAGGCAGGAGUGUGGGGAAUAUCCCAAGACAGCGUAGGGUAGUGUGUUCCAGGGUUUUGGAGGUGGUUCAAGAUGUUCAGCCACAUAGUUCGUUUAGCCUGAGCUGCAUGGGAUCAUGUUUCGAGAGCCCUUGAGCAUUGGAAGGAGAGACACUCUGUAAUUGGCUGGGUCCCCUAUGUCCAGCAGGCUGCUUCGUGACCCACUAUGUCUUCCCCCACAAGUUCUCUGGACACUCCCUUGCCUGGGAAUGGUUCUCCCCAGCCCAGUACCUCCUCCACUUCACCCACUAUUAAGGAGGAGGGACAGGAGACUGAUCCACCUCCAGGCUCUGAAGGGUCCAGCUCUGCCUACAUCGUGGUCAUCUUAGAGCCAGAGGAUGAACCUGAGCGCAAGCGGAA